AUUGAACGCUGGCGGCAUGCCUUACACAUGCAAGUCGAACGGCAGCACGGGAGCAAUCCUGGUGGCGAGUGGCGAACGGGUGAGUAAAGUAUCGGAACGUGCCCAGUCGUGGGGGAUAACGUAGCGAAAGUUACGCUAAUACCGCAUACGAUCUAUGGAUGAAAGCGGGGGAUCGCAAGACCUCGCGCCAUUGGAGCGGCCGAUAUCAGAUUAGGUAGUUGGUGGGGUAAAGGCUCACCAAGCCGACGAUCUGUAGCUGGUCUGAGAGGACGACCAGCCACACUGGGACUGAGACACGGCCCAGACUCCUACGGGAGGCAGCAGUGGGGAAUUUGGGACAAUGGGCGAAAGCCUGAUCCAGCCAUGCCGCGUGCAGGAUGAAGGCCUUCGGGUUGUAAACUGCUUUUGUACGGAACGAAAAGGUUUGGCCUAAUAAGCUGAGCUCAUGACGGUACCGUAAGAAUAAGCACCGGCUAACUACGUGCCAGCAGCCGCGGUAA
rnacentral:rRNA from 1 species